rnacentral:rRNA from 1 species
UACGGGGGGGGUAAGCGUUGUUCGGAAUUACUGGGCGUAAAGGGCUCGUAGGCGGCCAACUAAGUCGGACGUGAAAUCCCUCAGCUUAACUGGGGAACUGCGUCCGAUACUGGAUGGCUUGGAUUGGGAGAGGGAUGCGGAAUUCCAGGUGUAGCGGUGAAAUGCGUAGAUAUCUGGAGGAACACCGGUGGCGAAGGCGGCAUCCUGGACCGAUAUGACGCUGAGGAGCGAAAGCCAG